rnacentral:piRNA from 1 species
UGUGUUAAAAUGCUUGUUCCAGCUUGCCUC